rnacentral:rRNA from 1 species
UACGUAGGUGGCAAGCGUUGUCCGGAUUUAUUGGGCGUAAAGCGAGCGCAGGCGGUUCCUUAAGUCUGAUGUGAAAGCCCACGGCUCAACCGUGGAAGGUCAUUGGAAACUGGGGAACUUGAGUGCAGAAGAGGAGAGUGGAAUUCCAUGUGUAGCGGUGAAAUGCGUAGAUAUAUGGAGGAACACCAGUGGCGAAGGCGACUCUCUGGUCUGUAACUGACGCUGAGGCUCGAAAGCGUGGCGAGCAAACAGGAUUA